rnacentral:misc_RNA from 1 species
GAUGAAGAACGCAGCGAAAUGCGAUAAGUAGUGUGAAUUGCAGAAUUCAGUGAAUCAUCGAAUCUUUGAACGCACAUUGCGCCCUUUGGUAUUCCAAAGGGCAUGCCUGUUCGAGCGUCAUUUGUACCCUCAAGCUUUGCUUGGUGUUGAGCGUCUUGUCUCUAGCUUUGCUGGAGACUCGCCUUAAAGUAAUUGGCAGCCGGCCUACUGGUUUCGGAGCGCAGCACAAGUCGCACUCUCUAUCAGCAAAGGUCUAGCAUCCAUUAAGCCUUUUUUUUCAACUUUUGACCUCGGAUCAGGUAGGGAUACCCGCUGAACUUAAGCAUAUCAAUAAGCGGAGG